rnacentral:rRNA from 1 species
AUUGCCCUAGUAACGGCGAGUGAAGCGGCAACAGCUCAAAUUUGAAAUCUGGCGUCUUCGACGUCCGAGUUGUAAUUUGCAGAGGGCGCUUUGGCAUUGGCAGCGGUCCAAGUUCCUUGGAACAGGACGUCACAGAGGGUGAGAAUCCCGUACGUGGUCGCUAGCCUUUACCGUGUAAAGCCCCUUCGACGAGUCGAGUUGUUUGGGAAUGCAGCUCUAAAUGGGAGGUAAAUUUCUUCUAAAGCUAAAUACUGGCCAGAGACCGAUAGCGCACAAGUAGAGUGAUCGAAAGAUGAAAAGCACUUUGGAAAGAGAGUUAAAAAGCACGUGAAAUUGUUGAAAGGGAAGCGCUUGCAGCCAGACUUGCCUGUAGUUGCUCAUCCGGGUUUCUACCCGGUGCACUCUUCUAUAGGCAGGCCAGCAUCAGUUUGGGCGGUUGGAUAAAGGUCUCUGUCAUGUACCUCCUUUCGGGGAGAUCUUAUAGGGGAGACGACAUGCAACCAGCCUGGACUGAGGUCCGCGCAUCUGCUAGGAUGCUGGCGUAAUGGCUGUAAGCGGCCCGUCUUGAAACACGGACCAAGGAGUCUAACAUCUAUGCGAGUGUUUGGGUGUCAAGCCCGAACGCGUAAUGAAAGUGAACGGAGGUGGGAACCUUUCGGGGUGCACCAUCGACCGAUCCUGAUGUCUUCGGAUGGAUUUGAGUAAGAGCAUAGCUGUUGGGACCCGAAAGAUGGUGAACUAUGCUUGAAUAGGGUGAAGCCAGAGGAAACUCUGGUGGAGGCUCGCAGCGGUUCUGACGUGCAAAUCGAUCGUCAAAUUUGGGCAUAGGGGCGAAAGACUAAUCGA